rnacentral:rRNA from 1 species
AUACGAAGGGUGCAAGCGUUAAUCGGAAUUACUGGGCGUAAAGCGUGCGUAGGCGGUUUGUUAAGUCUGUUGUGAAAGCCCUGGGCUCAACCUGGGAAUGGCAAUGGAAACUGGCGAGCUAGAGUCAGGUAGAGGGUGGUGGAAUUCCCGGUGUAGCGGUGAAAUGCGUAGAGAUCGGGAGGAACAUCUGUGGCGAAGGCGGCCACCUGGACCAUGACUGACGCUGAGGCACGAAAGCGUGGGGAGCAAACAGGAUUAGAUACCCUGGUAGUCCACGCCCUAAACGAUGCGAACUGGAUGUUGGGCUCAACUCGGAGCUCAGUGUCGAAGCUAACGCGUUAAGUUCGCCGCCUGGGGAGUACGGUCGCAAGACUGAA